UACAGAGGUCUCAAGCGUUGUUCGGAUUCAUUGGGCGUAAAGGGUGCGUAGGUGGCGCCAUAAGUCAGGUGUGAAAUCUCGGGGCUUAACUCCGAAACUGCAUUCGAUACUGCCGUGCUUGAGGACUGGAGAGGAGACUGGAAUUUACGGUGUAGCAGUGAAAUGCGUAGAGAUCGUAAGGAAGACCAGUGGCGAAGGCGGGUCUCUGGACAGUUCCUGACACUGAGGCACGAAGGCCAGGGGAGCAAACGGG
rnacentral:rRNA from 1 species